UUGAAGGGAAAGGGAAGAGAAUUCUAAGAUUUUUUCAAGAAAAGAGGGAAAUUCUCUGGUCCUGUGCAUCCUACAACUCUUAAUGACCCAUUUUAAAGAGAGAAAAGAAUCCCUUCUAAUAGAAGCUGAUGUAGCAGCAACUGCAGCCAACAUGGAAAGAGAUGGAUUACCGGAUUCACCCACACUGAUCAUCCAUGGUGAAUCCCUGACCACAAGCAAGUGGAUGUUGUCAGUUGAAAGGGAAGUUGUUCUGGGACCAUUUUCAGAGGCAUUUGUUGAGGGCUUUAUUUGCAUUAUUAUUGCAGCAUUAUUUGCGACAUAUUACAACUUCAACCUUGCUGGUAUGUCAGAGCAUAAACUCCUUUUUUUUUUUUUUUUCCGACAGAGGAAUUGUGGGCAUUAACCCAGAAACUGGAUCAAAAGUUGCUGGAAAACAAGACAAGAAAAUGAAUGGAAUGAACCCACAUGUGUGCACACUGCUACAGAAACUGAUGGACUUUGAAUGGCUUGCAUUUAAAAAAAAAAAGUUCCAACGGAAUUUAAGUGCGAGACUCUGAACUGAUUGUCAAGUACAUUGUUGAUGUUCAAGUAAAUGUACGUGCAAUGUCUUUUCUUUUGAUGGAUUUGGCAGUUUAAAGGUAGGCACAGUUCAGACCAUUUGUUUUGUGUUCGUUUAUUUUAACUUUGAGUUUAUGAAUGAAGUUCAUUCACACUGUAGGGAUGUUUUUUCCCCCCUAAGGCCAAAGCUUUUCAUUUAAUGUGCAAUGUCCAUUUUUGUUUCUCCAGAUAUGUUUUGGAAA